rnacentral:misc_RNA from 1 species
GUCCAAGUGGUGGAAGUAAUGUAAUUUUUUGACAAUUAUGAAGCUGCAGGUGCACCAUAUUACUGUAUAUGGGAUCCCCCAACCAUAAAGGAAAUUUAGUACCACCAUAUGAUCUAAUUGAAAGGCUUGCUAGAUCUUGAUGAGGUUGCAGUGAGUUGAGGACCUGCAAUUCAUCCCUCUCGUUUCGCAAACCUUCGAAAUCAUCAAACCAUUCCAGCUUCAAUUCAUCAAGCCCCUUCUUCUCCUUUAAAUGAGCAAGAUCUGCUUCUAUAAUACUUGCUACAUUCUGCAAUCCAGAGAUAUGAAGUUGUCCUUGUAGAUGAGAAAGUUUCAUCAACU